UACAGAGGGGGCAAGCGUUGUUCGGAAUUACUGGGCGUAAAGGGCGCGUAGGCGGCCCGCUAAGUCGAACGUGAAAUCCCCGGGCUCAACCCGGGAACUGCGUCCGAUACUGGUGGGCUCGAAUCCGGGAGAGGGAUGCGGAAUUCCAGGUGUAGCGGUGAAAUGCGUAGAGAUGUGGAGGAAUACCGAUGGCGAAGGCAGCCCCCUGGGAUAACACUGACGCUCAUGCACGAAAGCGUGGGGAGCAAACAGG
rnacentral:rRNA from 1 species